rnacentral:rRNA from 1 species
CCUACGGGCGGCAGCAGUGGGGAAUAUUGGGCAAUGGGCGCAAGCCUGACCCAGCAACGCCGCGUGAAGGAAGAAGGCUUUCGGGUUGUAAACUUCUUUUAUCAGGGACGAAGCAAGUGACGGUACCUGAUGAAUAAGCCACGGCUAACUACGUGCCAGCAGCCGCGGUAAUACGUAGGUGGCAAGCGUUAUCCGGAUUUAUUGGGUUUAAAGGGUGCGCAGGCGGCGUGUCAAGUCAGCGGUAAAAUGUCGGGGCUCAACCCCGGCCGGCCGUUGAAACUGGCGUGCUCUAGUUGGAGAGAAGUAUGCGGAAUUCGUGGUGUAGCGGUGAAAUGCAUAGAUAUCACGAAGAACCCCGAUUGCGAAGGCAGCAUACCGGCUCCACACUGACGCUGAGGCACGAAAGCGUGGGUAUCGAACAGGAUUAGAUACCCGAGUAGUC